rnacentral:lncRNA from 1 species
AUUACACUCUGUCCUCAGAAGGAAGAGACUGCCAGGUUCCCCUUACCUGGCACCAGAAGGCCCCAAUAGACUCCACUGUCUACACGGAUGUUUGAGGCCAGCAACCAGUCUGCAGUGAGGUCACAGUGGACUUCUGAGUUGUGGGUUACCAAGGAGGACUACUCAUUGGCCAGGGAGAGAGUUCAGACUUCCAACAGGGCUGCUUGCAGGCUUCUCGCCUCCCAAGAGUCCCUCAGCCCAUGGAGCAGGUCUGGAGAAAGGAUUACGCAGGGCCGAUCUGAACUCCCAGCUCAGCUUUUGAGCGACAGCUUUCCCCACCGCCCUGGAGAGGUGCUCAGAGCAGGACCUCCUCAGUCUCUCUCCAUCGUCUCCAGCAGCCCCAGGAGGUGGCCGGGUGAUUCUGGAACAAGGCACCUGGGAGACACAGCACAUGCUGGGUCAUAAGGAGAAGAACCCUGAUAACUUGGACGGACAGUCUGCAAGCCGUGAAAAGUCCAGCUGCCUCCAGCCCCACGGGCCAGCGCUCGGUUCCCAUGACACUCACUGGCAGCGUUAAUAACUAACCACGGCCCAGACAGGUGUUGGCAGCCGGGCCUCAGGAGUUCUUGUUCAGGGGUGGAAACAACCAACACUCGUGACAUCUGAUCGGGCAGCACUGGUGUCUCCGGCAGGCGUGAGACUGACAGGCAGAGAGAAGAUGACACUGUUUCUUGCCUCAGAAGCUUCCAGGUGUCACAGCCUAGUUUACCUCUGCACUGUCUCACUUCUACAUGGCCCCCAGACUUCCCAAACUGCACUGUGAAAUCUGUCUGCUGCAGCCAUGGCUUUGGCUGCCCUUCCUAGAGUCCCUGGAACAAUUUCACUAUUAAUUAUGGUGGUGGCAGAGAUGGUCAUUGGAGCCACAGCACCUCUGUCCCCAGCACACACAUGCGUGAUUGGAUGGAGCUGAGGACACAGCAUGUCCUCCCUGGACGUCCAACUUUUCCUCAGUGGACACACUCCUCCCUGCUGCUGACCUCAUGCAGGAAUCCUGGGGGCUGUGAGGCCGUGAAUGUGACAGUUCUUUGAAAGGAAGUUUGCAAAGCCAGAACCAGUGGGGAGAUGGGGAGAGGCCCUCCUAUGAAGCCAUGAUGCCACAGAAGAUUGUGUGGAUUGCCUGAAUGAGGGAGUCAUGGCUGCUGAGAAUCAGUGCCUGUGAUUUUCAGCUCCUCACAGAAUCACUGUCAAUCUGCUCUCAGAGAUGGGAAACCAAAGUCCAUGAAGAGGUCGUCAGCCCAUCGUCACAACGUGAGAAAGUAAUAGGAGGUGGAUGUGAAGCCAGGCCAUCUGGGUCCCUGCUCCUUACCACUGCACUAGACAAGACAGUGACCAACUCACAACACAAUCUGCCUGGUUGCGAAUCUCUGCACAGCACCCUCCUUCUAAACUCCACGGGAGAAACAGAAACAAUCUGUUGUCUCCCAUAAAACACACCUACAUUCUGAGCUUCCAGCCAGCAUGAAACUCACAGCCAGAAUCAGAGCCACUGUGGAUGGAGACGUCUAGAAAACUAUGGGCAAAUCCAGCCUUAUGUGAAAGGAAGGGGUGUCUGCUUCACACGCUGCACUGUCAGGACCAGACUUCAGUCAGCAGCACCCGGAAAUGUGUAGGAGCCCACUUAAUCCUACGGCCAAUCUGUGCCCUGGAAAGCCAGCAGGUCGAUCCACCUGUCCCCUACACCCACAGGCUGUGAGUCACCUGCCUGAAGGUUCUUCCUGCACACUGUCUGAAAGACCUGUGUGUCCUGCAAUGGACUCCAUGUCUGCAGUGCAGGUAGCAGGAGCGGACACGGAACCUGCUGAGAAGCUGGGACAACUCACUAUCACUCAAAACAGCAACAGGCCACGGUCAUGGUUCAGAGCUGGCUUUCAAUCCCAGCUCCUCUGCAAAUUACCUGUGCAACACUGGACGAAUGACUGUACCUUGAUUUUCUCAUCUGGAGGCUGGGCAUCAGGUAACUCACGGCUAGAGCUGUGAGGGGCCAAAUGAGUUAACCAAAUCACAGCCAUGGAACGCAGCCUGGCCAGAGUUAAUAAAUACUGGAUGUACUUAUAAGCCUGGGCCCCUGAACCUCUUCUGCUCGCUACCUGCAAGGUGCCUGCUGAC